CUUUCUGCUGCUGCUUGCGUACGGCUUGUGAUCUCUCUGGAUUCGUGCGGCUGUGUUUUUUCCCUCUUUUCUCGCUUGCAAACUGCUUUCCUUGCUCCGUCGCUCCUGGCCUCCGCUUCCCUCCCUCCUCUUUUUCCUCGCCUCUUCUUCCUUCCCUUCCCCUGUCCUUCUGGGUAACUCCGGGAGGCAAAAAGGGAGGCUGCCCGCUCGCUCGCCCCGCUGGCUCUCUUCCAUCGGCCUCGGUCUUUUAGAUUCCCUGCCUUCGAGCCGAACCGAGAUUUGGAAGGAAAAAAUGCAAGCGAACUCUUUGGGUUUUUGUUUUUGUUUUUUUGGUCAUAAAUCCAGAUGAGAUGAA
ensembl:lncRNA novel transcript, antisense to BCL6-AS1